UACGUAGGGAGCAAGCGUUAUCCGGAUUUACUGGGUGUAAAGGGCGCGUAGGCGGGAUGGCAAGUCAGAUGUGAAAGCCCGGGGCCCAACCCCGGGACUGCUCUUGGAACUGCGUGGCUGGAGUGCAGGAGGGGCAGGCGGAAUUCCUGGUGUAGCGGAGAAAUGCGUAGAUAUCAGGAGGAACACCGGUGGCGAAGGCGGCCUGCUGGACUGCAACUGACGUUGAGGCCCGAAAGCGUGGGGAGCAAACAGG
rnacentral:rRNA from 1 species